rnacentral:rRNA from 1 species
GACGAACGCUGGCGGCGUGCUUAACACAUGCAAGUCGAACGGAAAGGCCCUGCUCUUGUGGGGUGCUCGAGUGGCGAACGGGUGAGUAACACGUGAGUAACCUGCCCUUGACUUUGGGAUAACUUCAGGGAACUGGGGCUAAUACCGGAUAGGAGCUCCUGCUGCAUGGGGGGGGUUGGAAAGUUUCGGCGGUUGGGGAUGGACUCGCGGCUUAUCAGCUUGUUGGUGGGGUAGUGGAUUACCAAGGCUAUGACGGGUAGCCGGCCUGAGAGGGUGACCGGCCACAUUGGGACUGAGAUACGGCCCAGACUCCUACGGGAGGCAGCAGUGGGGAAUAUUGCACAAUGGGCGGAAGCCUGAUGCAGCAACGCCGCGUGCGGGAUGACGGCCUUCGGGUUGUAAACCGCUUUCGCCUGUGACGAAGCGUGAGUGACGGUAAUGGGUAAAGAAGCACCGGCUAACUACGUG